UACGUAGGGCGCGAGCGUGUCCGGAAUUAUUGGGCGUAAAGAGCUCGUAGGCGGCCUGUUGCGUCCGCUGUGAAAUCCCAGGGCUCAACCCCUGGGCGUGCAGUGGAUACGGGCAGGCUGGAGGCAGGCAGGGGGAGAACGGAAUUCCUGGUGUAGCGGUGGAAUGCGCAGAUAUCAGGAGGAACACCGGUGGCGAAGGCGGUUCUCUGGGCAUUACCUGACGCUGAGGAGCGAAAGCAUGGGGGAGCGAACAGG
rnacentral:rRNA from 1 species